rnacentral:rRNA from 1 species
AGAGUUUGAUCAUGGCUCAGAGCGAACGCUGGCGGCAGGCUUAACACAUGCAAGUCGAGCGGGCGUAGCAAUACGUCAGCGGCAGACGGGUGAGUAACGCGUGGGAACGUACCUUUUGGUUCGGAACAACACAGGGAAACUUGUGCUAAUACCGGAUAAGCCCUUACGGGGAAAGAUUUAUCGCCGAAAGAUCGGCCCGCGUCUGAUUAGCUAGUUGGUGAGGUAAUGGCUCACCAAGGCGACGAUCAGUAGCUGGUCUGAGAGGAUGAUCAGCCACAUUGGGACUGAGACACGGCCCAAACUCCUACGGGAGGCAGCAGUGGGGAAUAUUGGACAAUGGGCGCAAGCCUGAUCCAGCCAUGCCGCGUGAGUGAUGAAGGCCCUAGGGUUGUAAAGCUCUUUUGUGCGGGAAGAUAAUGACGGUACCGCAAGAAUAAGCCCCGGCUAACUUCGUGCCAGCCGCCGCGGUAAUAC